UCCAAGCAUGAGUUAGAAUACAUAAAUGAUUGGGAUUUGGGUGAUCUGGAUUUGUGAAUCCACUUAGCCAUAACAUCUGCAUAACCUUAAUCCAGCCUCUCUGUUUUCAAUCUGACCAAUUUCUUAGGGUUCUUGAGAAGACAAUAUGAAAGAAAAUACUUGAAUGCAGAGUGAUUUAAACAUAGACUUCAGGUGAUGUAUCUGCUAAAGGAACUCUGCUGACCACAGUCUCUCCAACAACAGAAGCAAAGCUGAAGUGGAAUUAAAUGUAACAAAACAGGAUUUUAAGAAAGCCUCUUUCAUUUGCACAAAUGUUAUUUUCACUAAACAUAAGAUUCAGACCCCAUCUGACUGUGCAUCAGGAAAAAGACUAUUCCCAGAGAAGUUCCCAAGUUUUUCUUAGGGGAAGAAAAGGGUUUAAUCAAUUUGGGGGACUUCCAAACUCUCCUUGAAAUGUUCUUGCAGAAACUAGAGAGCAUCGCUGUGUUUUACCAAUCAACAACACCAAAGAAUCUCUGCCCCACCCCCACCCCCCAGCCAAAUGGUAUAAAAAACACAGCAUCCUGAUUUUCUUCCGCAAAAAGGAUAUAAACUGCAAAAAAACUAAUGGUUUUAAGCUGCUGCUCUUCCUUUGGUGGCCCAGUGUUGUGAGCCCCUUUGUGCCUCGAUCAAGAGAUAAAAGUACGAUAAUAACAGCAGAAGAAGCAGAAGCAGAAGUGGUGUUACAUGAACGUGUUUCCUUUUCCAAAGUUCAUGGCAGAAGCAGCCUUCCUUAGAUUUACUGAACUCAUCUCAGUAGUUAUUCAGCCGGGCUGUGGCGCAGGCUGUUGAUCAACCAGCUGCAGCCAGCUGCAAUGAAUCACUCUGACCAGGAGGUCAUGAGUUCGAGGCCAGCUCGGAGUCCCGUGUUUGUCUUGUCUUUGUUCUAUGUUAAGGCAUUGAAUGUUUGCCUUAUAUGUGUAAUGUGAUCCGCCCUGAGUUCCCUUCGGGGUGAGAAGGGCGGAAUAUAAAUACUGUAAGUAAAUAAAUAAAAUAAAUAUUUUGUUUUAAUCUA